rnacentral:rRNA from 1 species
UUAAUUGAAGAGUUUGAUCAUGGCUCAGAUUGAACGCUGGCGGCAGGCCUAACACAUGCAAGUCGAGCGGUAGCACAGGAGAGCUUGCUCUCUGGGUGACGAGCGGCGGACGGGUGAGUAAUGUCUGGGAAACUGCCUGAUGGAGGGGGAUAACUACUGGAAACGGUAGCUAAUACCGCAUAACGUCUUCGGACCAAAGUGGGGGACCUUCGGGCCUCACGCCAUCAGAUGUGCCCAGAUGGGAUUAGCUAGUAGGUGGGGUAAUGGCUCACCUAGGCGACGAUCCCUAGCUGGUCUGAGAGGAUGACCAGCCACACUGGAACUGAGACACGGUCCAGACUCCUACGGGAGGCAGCAGUGGGGAAUAUUGCACAAUGGGCGCAAGCCUGAUGCAGCCAUGCCGCGUGUGUGAAGAAGGCCUUCGGGUUGUAAAGCACUUUCAGCGAGGAGGAAGGGUAGUGUGUUAAUAGCACAUUGCAUUGACGUUACUCGCAGAAGAAGCACCGGCUAACUCCGUGCCAGCAGCCGCGGUAAUACGGAGGGUGCAAGCGUUAAUCGGAAUUACUGGGCGUAAAGCGCACGCAGGCGGUUUGUUAAGUCAGAUGUGAAAUCCCCGCGCUUAACGUGGGAACUGCAUUUGAAACUGGCAAGCUAGAGUCUUGUAGAGGGGGGUAGAAUUCCAGGUGUAGCGGUGAAAUGCGUAGAGAUCUGGAGGAAUACCGGUGGCGAAGGCGGCCCCCUGGACAAAGACUGACGCUCAGGUGCGAAAGCGUGGGGAGCAAACAGGAUUAGAUACCCUGGUAGUCCACGCUGUAAACGAUGUCGACUUGGAGGUUGUGCCCUUGAGGCGUGGCUUCCGGAGCUAACGCGUUAAGUCGACCGCCUGGGGAGUACGGCCGCAAGGUUAAAACUCAAAUGAAUUGACGGGGGCCCGCACAAGCGGUGGAGCAUGUGGUUUAAUUCGAUGCAACGCGAAGAACCUUACCUACUCUUGACAUCCAGAGAAUUCGCUAGAGAUAGCUUAGUGCCUUCGGGAACUCUGAGACAGGUGCUGCAUGGCUGUCGUCAGCUCGUGUUGUGAAAUGUUGGGUUAAGUCCCGCAACGAGCGCAACCCUUAUCCUUUGUUGCCAGCACGUAAUGGUGGGAACUCAAAGGAGACUGCCGGUGAUAAACCGGAGGAAGGUGGGGAUGACGUCAAGUCAUCAUGGCCCUUACGAGUAGGGCUACACACGUGCUACAAUGGCGUAUACAAAGAGAAGCGAACUCGCGAGAGCCAGCGGACCUCAUAAAGUACGUCGUAGUCCGGAUCGGAGUCUGCAACUCGACUCCGUGAAGUCGGAAUCGCUAGUAAUCGUAGAUCAGAAUGCUACGGUGAAUACGUUCCCGGGCCUUGUACACACCGCCCGUCACACCAUGGGAGUGGGUUGCAAAAGAAGUAGGUAGCUUAACCUUCGGGAGGGCGCUUACCACUUUGUGAUUCAUGACUGGGGUGAAGUCGUAACAAGGUAACCGUAGGGGAACCUGCGGUUGGAUCACCUCCUUACCU